UCCUCCUCCAAUUAUUAACCUGUCUUUGAAAUUGUUAGUAGCAGCUUUAAGCUCUGCUAAUGUAAAGCGCCUAUCCUUUACAUUCACCCUAUUCAAUAUGAUUCACCCUGUAUUCAGUGUACUCCAGGUAAUCAUCAUUAUACUUCAUCAAAUUAACUUAUAGUAUGCACUAAGCAGAUAUUUCACUAGUAACUGAUUAUGUUUAUAGGCACCUCAUCCAUUUUAUUAACCCAUAAAUGAUUGUUUGGUAUGCAAGGAUCUAAUUUGCGCCUCUCUGCACCCUGAUUACUGCAGAUGUGAUGACCCUGAUGAAUGUAACUAAGAAUGCACUUAUGAUGCAGAAUUUUAUGUGAAGCAAUGCCAGAGUCUCACCAUUCAUGCUAGAAUUCAACUCAAGCCGUUCGACACAACACCACAUAUCUGCCUGAAACUCAAAAUAUAGUAAGAUGCAAAGUUAAACAUAUACACAAAUUUAAUAGAUUCUAUAAUAGAAUGAAAUUUCUAUAGUAGAACCAACUAAGAAAUAUAUGAAUCAAAUAUCUAUAGUAGAAUCAAAACUACAGUACACAACUUUAUAACAUAAUUAAUCAUUUAAUAAAUUGAUUGUUUUGAUUCUAUAAUAGAAGCAAAAAAAACUGAAAUUGCAAGCAUAAUAUUUAUAACAAAAUUGAUUAGAUAGAAUUCAACAAGAACAAUAACAAAUGCAAAACUAGUAUAUAUGAGCCGUAAAUUGCAAAUAAACCAGGAUUAAUCUAUACGAAAUCAAAUCUCGAUAUGUAAAGACAUAUAAAUGGAUUAGUGUAACUAGAAGCAGCCGACUCCUAAUCUCUCUUGAACUAAAUUGUCAACUAGAAUUUAGUGUAACUAGAAGCAGCCGACUCCUAAUCUCUCUUGAACUAGAGAAUAAAAUAACAGUAGCUACCAAAUCCAAAUAGACUUAUUGCAAAAUAUUGUGCUAACAUUUCAUCAACAAACCCACCAUUUCAAAUGUGUGAUUAAACUAAAAAUGUAACAAGAACAAAACACAAACAGACCUUCUGGCGGAGCUCGCUUCGAUAUUUGCAAAGCUGGCUCUGGUGUCUUACUAAACCAAUCAAGUUCCAAGAUUCAUUCUCAACCUGUUUUCUUAAAAUGUAGAGCUUUCAAAACCUGUAACAGAGAUCUCAGACUUAAGAAGUAAAUAGAAAAUUAAAACUACACACUAUAAUACUAAGGGAAAAUACAAAUUAAAAAAUUAGUAAGGAACUACUUAUAAUACUACUUAUUUAGCUCGGAACUCUUAGUCAUGCCAAUUUAUUUUUACGGACUAAACAAAUACUUCGACCACUUUUUAUAACUGGUAACCGCUAAAAUUAGCUGAUCUAUCUUGAUUCUAUUGUAGAACCAAGGAAAAAAAUAUCAUCUAAUAAUAUACAUAAUUUAAAAGAAAAAGUUGUAGAUUUGGAACUAAAUUGUAAAACAUUAUUUGGUUCUACGCUGGAACCAAAAGUGUAACACAAAGUUGCAUAAUAAAACUAGAUAUUUCAGGAAAUUAUCGUUUCGACUCUACAAUAGAACCAACCAACAUACAUAAUUUUGACUAUAAAUAAGAAAAUUGUCACAAUCGAAAAGGAAACUAAAAAUAACAAAUCAAAUUGCAAAACUACAUACGACUCAACAACAAACAGCUACAAUUAACCGUAAAUUAACUACACAACAUUAAAUUUCAAACUGUGAACUCUCAACGGAUAUAGAAUUAUCAAAAUCGAAAGGACACUAUAAUAACAAAUCAAAUGGAAAAAACUACAUAAAAUUUAACAAACAACAGCUACAUAAAACCAAAUAAAAACAUAAUUUUACAAAAUACAUAAUCUAUAAGCAAAACUUUUUAGCUCUGGAGCUAAUUUAUAAGACAUUAUUUGGUUCUACAGUGGAACCAAAACUUAUCAGGAGCAUAAAUAGUUAUUAGUCAGACAUACUAGUUCUACUUGGAACUAUGUUACAAACGAUUCUAUUGUAGAACCAAACCUACAAUAUAGAACUAUGCAGAAAUUAAAAAUUUAAUAAAUUCACUUUCUUGAUUCUGCAACAAAACCAAAAUUCAAAAAAUAAUUUCAAACUGCAUUAUUCACAAAAACAUUCCAGUAGAACCAAAGCAACAUUACCACUAAAAAUUAAAAAUUUAAACAAACUGAUUUGAUUCUACAACAAGACCUGAAAACAAUGAUACAAACUGAAAUUAAAACAUAUGAGAUGAAUAAUAAAACUUGAAAGUCAACAUUUAACAAAUCAAAAUCAACAUAGCGAGAGAGAAAUAAGGAGCAGUAUAACUAAAACAUAAAAGUAAAUCGAAUUGGUUUGAUUCCACAACGGAACCAGGCCAAAUUAAUACGACUUGAAACUAAAACAUAUCAGAGAAACAAUGAAAAUUAAAAUUCAACAUAUAACAAGUCAAAAUUAACAGAGAGAUAAAGAGAUAACUGCAAGUGUACCAAAAUCAAAAUCAAGAGAGAUAACGAACCUGAUGAAUAGGUUAAAUCGACAUUAUCACGAAUCUGAGCUUGAUUUGCGGAUGACUGAGCUUGAUUUGUUGAAAGACACCAUGUGGCAGUACUUUAAACUAAAGAAAGAUCAGAACACCGGCCUCUAGAGAGAUAGCACGCCAGAGAGACGAGAUAGCGAGCCGCAG
rnacentral:lncRNA from 1 species